UAACAGGUGUUCUCAGAGAAGAUGGGACUAGAGGCUGGUUGGAACUGCCACAUUUCCCUGCGGUCAGAUUUGGGGGUAGGAACAGCCCCCACCAGUGCUUCAGUCUCGCAGAUGGAGCUCUCCAAUCGCUAUUCAAGUCGCCACUCCUCGGACACAGCCGCCCGCGAAACAAAUGCCUGUGCCCGACUCUUUCAGUCACAGGAAUCCAUUAGAUCUCGCAGCCACUAGCGCACCGAGUGUUGUCAACUUGGACUCUUCUCAAGUAAGGUUCCAGAUGUCGGAUGUUAAUAACGGCAAGCAGCGUCAGCGAUUUCUGAGUGAACAUCAUUGUGAGCCGCUGGUUCCCACUGAUAGCCAGAACCAUGGGAGUAGCAGUCCCCCAGAGAGCAUUGUCAAUGAGAACACUCCCUUAAACUAUGAAGAGGAGGGGGAAGUGAUUUUGAAGUCUUAUGAAUGGACCAAUCAGAAUUCUAGAUAACAUGGGCAGUGCAAGUAGAAAUGCCUCCAGUUACUUGACUGAUGACAGUUUAACUGGUGCACUUGACAACAGGGCUAGGUUACCAAAAGGAAUAGAAAAUAUUCGACCUCAUUUAGAAAAUGUGGACAAUGUUCCUUUGUUAGUGAAUCUCUUCACAGACUGUACCACAGAAACGACGUGUGAGAUGAUGGAGAUCAUGCAGGAACACGGGGAGGUGGUGGUCUGUACCGGCAGUAAUCUCAACAUUGAAAACGUCGACCUCUUUCUGCAGGCAGACUGCAGUAUGGCGGUGGAGCCCCUGUAUCCCUUUGGUGUGUGCCAGGAACGCUUCCACGCUGACCCAGUGCAGGGACGACCCUCUGUCCCCCAUGGCUGUGGCUGCCUCACUCAUCAGCCUGCCCUGUCCUCUCGUCUUCAAGUACAAAGACAAUAUUGGAGUGAUCCAACUCGUCACAGAGGCUCGAACUUUCCUCCUGUCCCUGAAGAACACAUUCUAUCUGAUGCUGUGUUAUCACCUGUCUGUGACCUUGGUCCAAGUCCUGGCCUCCCUCCUUCUCCUCCCCCCUGUCCUUGCCCCCCAGCAGUUGUUGUGGCUUCUCAUCUUCGUCAUCCCCCUCAUCAGCCUCAGCAUGAUGGGUAAUGCGGUGGACUUCAGAAUCAUGAACAACGCCACAGUCAAAUAUCCCAAGAAUAUUACCAUAGAGAUGAUAUUCCAGUUUAUUUGUUACUACUGUGUGAGAUUUUUACCGGCCAUUUUAGUGUGCUUAUUUUGUUAUACAUUUACACUCCACUCUUUUUGUGAGAGCGUUUCCACAGACUUUCCAUACUCGUGUGCAAUAUUUAGUUUUAGCCCUCAGAAUGGAACUGUAACGUGGUAUGAAAAGUAUUCUGGGGGUCUUGUUGUGGCUCAAAAUAUACUCCUCUUUUUACUGGUUUUAUAUUUUGCUUCUAUAUCAGUGAGCUUUGUCCACUGGUCGGACCCCCUCUGGCAGCAGUUGCCCACCACCAACAAAGUCUGGCGUGUCGCUGUCCCAGCAGUGCUGUUGUUUCAGUGUGUGUUCUUUGCCUGUGAUAUUGUGAUUCGGAGUGACGGCCUGCCCUUCACCCUGUCCCUGGGGGAUGUUCACCCAGCUGUGUAUGCUACAGGCCUGCCCUUCGCCCUCAUCAUUGUGGUCAUAAAUGAACUGGUCAAGAGACGUGAAGUCAAAUUAUACUCUAGGUACCAGAAGAGAAGAAGGCUUAGCUUUGGAACAAAAUUGGGAAUGAAUUCUCCAUUUUAACUACAAAUGAGUUUAUUUGUGUGAUAUUGUAGACAUUGUAUGGUGCAAUCAGUAUGAUGUUGUGUGUUUUCAUGGCUAAAUGUGUGUACUUGUAUGUUCUGAAAAAAGUGCAAAAUUGUUGUAUAUUUUUGGAGAGAGACAUAAACCAAAUAAUUUAUUUACUAGACAUAUUACAGGUUUACAUUUGAAGGAUGCCAAAAGAAAAGUUAAAGCAUUAUUAAAUAAAAUAUUUUGUUCUUGAUUUUUAACAACUCCUUUUAUAUUUCAAUUUUAUUUUAGCAGUAUUGUCUUUGCUUUUUCAUGGAUGUUGGAUGUUAUACAGUGAAAUUACAAAUAUGUUGUUUUAAUUUCUGUUUAUUAUACAUGUACAUGUAUGGGUUUUUUUCUACAAGGUCUCAAAACAUUUCGCAUUUAUAUGUAUUGGACAGAUUAAACUGACAAAAUAUAUUGAUGAAUUUCAAUAAAAAGAUGAUGUCUUGUAAAAUACAUGAAACCUCAGUCUGCUUUGUUUUGUUUGGGUUGAUCCUUUUGGAAGUUAUAACCCCAUAGGAAGCUAAAAGAAAGAGGGAGGGGAGAUAAAGUAGCAGCAGCAGUAAACACCUUGCCAUUGUCACUCAAAGGGAAGAUUGAUUUUCAAUUAUGAUCCAUAAGAAGGAGUUGUAAUGCCAAAGUGUGCCUUUGUAAGGAGAAAUGAAACAACACAUCAGAUACUAGUAAUCUACAUGACAUGUACUGCCUUUCAAAUCCUAUUUAAAUACUCAUCU
rnacentral:sRNA from 1 species